AUAAACUCGACCUUUUGGCUAAGAUCUAAGUGUAGUAUCUGUACUUAUCAGCUUAAUGUCUGGUACGUUCUCCAUAGGGGACCCAGAAGAUUAAACUGAUUUUUGGAAAAUGACGGAGUGCUAAAGGGCUUGCUCCAACUCUGUCGCGGGUUGACCCGGUAUUGCAGUACCUCCGGCAACGGCCCAUUUAAA
rnacentral:snRNA from 1 species